AGCCACCCGCGCCGCGUGGAGCGCUUCGCCCAGGUCGCCGCGCGGGGGCCUGGGCAGAGCGGGGAGGUCGGCGGCCAGGGACGUCUCUCAGCUGGCAGUGCCUGGGAGGCUGCUCGGGGCGGGUGUCCGGGUCCUGCGGCGGGCGGCUGGAUGGCGAGCGGAGACGGGAGGCCUGGGCUUGGGCAGCGGUGGCGGUGUCCUGGCCCCGCCGGUGACGGAGGGCUUUGAUGAGGCCCGGCGGCCGCGUGCUUGCCAGGAAGGCCCGGGGCUUGAGGCCCUGGAAGGCCUGGCCCGUUCAGGAGUCCCGGCUGUUUGGGGGAAUGUCCCACGCCCUGUGGGGAUUUGAGCCGUGUCUCCCGGCCGACUUGGGUGUCCCGGUUGGGGUGUGGUCGGGCUGGGAGGGCUUGGUGCGGGCGGGAACCGCCGGGUAGCGACCACGUCUCGUCAGGGGGUUCGUGCCUGCUGCUGGGCACGGGAACGGCUCCGGGGGGGUCUUACGGGCGCUGAGGGGAUUCCGCAUCAUGGAGAGGUCAAGGGGAGUUGGUGGCCGUCACCCUUCGUCAGGGCAGGGUAGCAUCAGUGCUCCCGUGCUGGGGUUCCUGGAGAGCCGGCUGGCACGGACAGACUCUUGUGAGGGCAAGUGGCUGAUCGUGCGGCGGAUGGGUCCAGCAAAGGAGAGAAAGCUUCGGUGCGCGCGCGCGCCAGGGAAAGGGUGACAGCGGGUGGGACCGAGAGGGAGAGAGAGAGAGGGAGAGAACAAAGGAAGAGAGAGGGUUUCCGCAGGGGCGGUGAGUCCUGGCGGAAGUCCUGAGGCAGAGGAGGUGCCAGGGGUUUGGGUUUCCCGGUCGUGUCGGGGGUGUGGCGCAGGUUGCCCCAGUGGGCCUGAAUGUGCCUCCGUGGGGCACCUUGUUGCCGUGUUGGGGGGCGGGGAGCCGGCCUUGGGGAUCCAUCUUUCGGGCCCUGGGACGUGGGAGAAGAAUGCCGGGGCCUCUCUCUGUGCCCCUGGCACGCCUCUGUGCAGGCCGGGCCUGCACCACCCCCCGCCCGUCCCCAGGCAGGGUCCGUGUGGCUGCAGACACCCAGAGAGAGGGGAGGCUGGGGAGGCUGGGGAGCCGUGGCAGCCCGAUGCAGUGCGGGUCUCCAGGUGGAGGGGCCCUGGUCCCCUGGCGCCAGCGUGGCCCUUCCUCCUUGUGGAAACCCUUGUGGUGUGUGUGCUCUCUCGCCCUGACCCAGGAGAGCAGCAUGGCGGACCCCUGAUCUUGUGGCGUGCCACCGCGCGAGGCCGAGGAGCUCCCGCAGACCAGUGGGCGUGGCGUCCUUGUCGCGGCUCUGUGGAGACCUGGCGAUGGAGAGCAGCAUGGCGGACCCCUGAUCUUGUGGCGUGCCACCGCGCGAGGCCGAGGAGCUCCCGCAGACCCAGUGGGCGUGGCGUCCUUGUCGCGGCUCUGUGGAGACCUGGCGAUGGAGAGCAGCAUGGCGGACCCCUGAUCUUGUGGCGUGCCACCGCGCGAGGCCGAGGAGCUCCCGCAGACCAGUGGGCGUGGCGUCCUUGUCGCGGCUCUGUGGAGACCUGGCGAUGGUGAGCGGCCCCUGUCCUCAGUGGUGGAGAACUCGCCCUUGGGGCGCUCGUCUGUCCGGAGCCCCGGGCCAGCCCCGCUUCUCGCGGGCUUUGGCCCCGGCAGGCCAGCUCCGGGGGCGUGAGGGGGAGCGUCCCGUCCUGCCCAGUGGCUCGUCUGUCUGGGCACGCCCCCAAACGCUGCCGUGAUGGAGCGGGUGGGAUGUCCAGGUGCGGAGGCCGUGAAUUUGCCUUGCGGCGGCGGAGCCCGUGCUCGGAUCGAUGAUGACUCCCUCUAAAGCAUUCCUUGGAAAUCUGAACAAAAUGAGUGAGAACUCACUACCGUCUCCUCAUCGAAACUGAGGUCCGGCACGUGGCGGCCACCGGGGGCUCGGGGGUAGAUGGGCCCUUGGCCUUGGGGCCUCUGGUGUCAGCAGCCACUCGGGUGAGGGCUGGGGAAGGCGGCCG
ensembl:lncRNA